AUAGCGUAUAUUAAAGUUGUUGCAGUUAAAAAGCUCGUAGUUGAACUUCAGACCUGGCUGGACGGUCUGCCUAACGGUAUGUACUGUCUGGCUGGGCCUUACCUCUUGGUGAGCCGGCAUGCCCUUCAUUGGGUGUGUUGGGGAACCAGGACUUUUACCUUGAGAAAAUUAGAGUGUUCAAAGCAGGCUUAUGCUCGAAUACAUUAGCAUGGAAUAAUAAAAUAGGACGUGCGGUUCUAUUUUGUUGGUUUCUAGAGUCGCCGUAAUGAUUAAUAGGGACAGUCGGGGGCAUCAGUAUUCAAUUGUCAGAGGUGAAAUUCUUGGAUUUAUUGAAGACUAACUACUG
rnacentral:rRNA from 1 species